UCUUCAGAGCAUCUGCUGCUUUUCAUUAUUGCAGCAAGACACCUUUACACUUAAUCCCUUUUGCACUAAUGGCCAAGGUACCAUCUGCCUUCUGCACCUGCACAUUGGUUUUCAGUGACUUGCUGUCUGUACAAACCUCACUUCUCUCUCUGCAGACUCUGCCCGGCCUGCUGGAUAUCGCUAGCGUUCUCUUUUGUUCCGAGUUUGCUGGCCUGCUGUACUCCGCGGCACACGGUCGGUAUGGCAACACUCAGCUUCCUAUAUUACAACUGUGAUGAUACGGUGAAAACAAAUGACUGAUUGCAAGUUCCUAUGAGACAUCCUGAAGUGAAGAAACCAUUUAAGAUCUUUUGUUAAAUAGCUCGAAGUAAUAAUGCAGACAAAGCAGGCCUGGGAGUUUCAGCGGAAUCAGUACCGGCCAGUACUGGACAGGUUACUUUGAAGGCCCUGGCCUGGAGUUACACGCUGACUUCGGUUCUUUGCAGAAAUGGGACCCCUCUCAGGGCCUCACGACCGGCAACUUUUCAAUACGCCAAGGACACGGCCUGGGAGACUAGCGAGCCUUCAGUGUGCCGGAUUUUUGUGGCUCUGGAGGCGGGCAGAUUGAAGGUUGGUGCCGCUGCCUGGUGUGUCAUGGGAGUACAGGGAAGAUUGAAGGCAGCAAGCCGGCUGCAGGCUGUGUGCCCAGAGACCCGAGUUCUUUGGGCACAGAGAUCAGAAAAAGCAACACAACAGACUUCUAACACCAGACAGAAGAUGAGGUGAUCCUGGAGUUUCGGUGCGUCUCAUUACCAUGCAGGAGGACACAGAAUGAGAGGUCAGAGAGGGAGUGGAAUGGUGAUUUAAAGUGACAGAAACGUGUGGAGAAGACGCCCCUGAAUCUUCACUGGUUCGUCACACACUGCUCUUCCAAUGGGUGUGAAAGGACAAAGUGCGUUAAAGGCUGGAAGCAGGAGAAGUGGCCUUGACUGGUGAAACAGGCGCUCAGGAGGCCGAAUGGGGAAAACAAACAGCCCCAUGCAAAGUGACGUCGCUUGACCUGCUGAGUGUGCUUGCUGUUUCACAAUAUGUCAGCCACAUGGUCUGGAUGUUCACUGGUGGCUCUGGAUUCACAGCAUGAGGCCACACUGCCCAUCUGGAAAGUUAAGGCAACUUCAUGUCGUUUCUCCAAUCCAAACCUCCUUCUCAACCUUUCCUUCUCUCCUUCCAUUACCCUGAACUGCAACAACACCAGUCUGACUCCCGUCUCUCCACUUCUAUUAACUUCAAAUUUCAAAACUGUAGUCUCUGUCUGAACCUGUCCUGUGCACGCCUCACCUCUAUGGUCCAAACAUUUCCAUUUUAAUUUUUUUCUAUUUUCCAAUUACUCCAUCACUUCUUUCUGUCAUACCUCUAUAACAUCGUCCAGAUCUUCUACCUUCCAUAAAAUCUCUUUGCCUCUGGUUUCAUAACCCUUCCGUGGUGGCCACACCCUCCCUACUACUG